rnacentral:lncRNA from 1 species
AAUAUAUGCAUAAAUGGUAUUAUUUGGUUAAUCAAGCAAGUUAGGAUGCUGUGCACUCACAACAUAGUAGAUCAGCACCGCUGAAGAACCCAAAAAAAAAAAAAAAAUCUAGGCAAGGACCAGCUAGUUUGACAUGGUAAUUUCAAAUCAUUUAGGAAGUCAUGCUGGUGCAGGUAUGGUGAAGCUCCUAAAAUUACAAUUUCAAGCCCCAAAAAAAAAUCUUCAAAAAUGUGUAAAGAUAUAUUAAAUUACAAUAUAUCUAAGUUAUAGCAUGUUUAACCACUUAAUAGUUAAUUAUAUUGACUGAUAUUGAGUUUCAGUGAGUUCAAGCUGAUUUCCAAAUAUGCAGGUUGCAGCUUUUAAUGUCCUUUCCGACUGCCAUAAGCUCCUGCUAUCCCCAAGUCAGAGUCCAAGUAAUUUGUUUGUGAUAAUGCAAGACAUAGGUUUUCCAGUAAUUAUCUUCAGUUAAGAUCACCACAUCAUUUCAGUGAAACAUCCAUUAUAUGGCAGUCGGAAAGGACCAUUGAAAGCUACAAUAGUUCUCACAAGAUUAAUUGCAUGUCAUGGAUAUUUCAAAAUGCUCAAGGACUUCAUUUCUAAGACUGAAGAUUUGGAAGGAAUAUCAAGAAAGCUAGUAAUAUCGGUUUGCCAAAGACUUAUAGCCGUCUAAGAUCACAGCUCUCCCAGAUGCAAACCUCAUUACUGAGAACAAAAUAUUCAUAAGAGCCAUUUGCACGUGUGAAAAUAAGCUCCGAUUUGUCAAACUUCCUGAGCAUUCCUUUUAUGGCAACAGCUAACACAUUUGCAUCAAAUUCCUUUUGUGCACAGAAACCCCAUGUAACUGCAAAAGAUUUCUCUUCAAGACGCAAAAAUACACCUUAAGCAUAAGAGACAUCACAAUCUAAAUUCUUUCCUACAACCAAUCAUAAUAACCAUGCGAUUUCAGUAGUUGGGAGGAGUUACUCCUUGAAGGCUUUAUGUGGUGUCCACAGUAAGUUCAAAAUCUCCAAAUCCAAACACUUUCAAAUCAAUAAGGAUCUGUGCUCAUGAAACCACCAAUAACCAGUGGGGCUGGUGGCGUACUAAGUGGUUCUCGUGGUUGCAUGAUAAUAACUAGAAUUUGUUGCCACAGAAAAUACAAAAUUUCAAAGUUGGAAAGUGGCCAUCUCAGCUACUGUUGGCUCAUGCUCAAACAAAGUGUACACAUCUUAAUUAUUCAGACUUUAUUGUGGAGGCUGAUUCUAAGUGAUGAUCUGCAUUAUGCAUAAAAAUGCUUAGGGCAUGGAGCAUCCAGAAUAUUGAAGGUAAACUCAACCUAUCCUUGAGGGAGAUGAGUAAACCUUUUAACAAGCAAAACCUUUGCUACCCUGAUGACCAUUGACUCUUAAAAUAAAUAUAACUUUCUACCUCUGAUAUUGAUCCAAUUUGCACAAAAGAUAUCUAAAAUGAUUCUAUACACUGUAAACAAAAAGCAAGAUACCUGAAGUCAAAAGCCUUUAAAAAAAAGCAAAAUUACCAAUCUUUUAUAGAGAAAAACCCAGGAAACCUUAACUUCUAUGAGCUCCCAGGUAGGCUGCUUAGUGUGCAAAACUCAUGAACACUAAAAACCAAUUUGCUUUCAUUAAUCAUUUGUUGGUUACAUCAUUUACUUGGCUUAAAUUGCAAACUGUAGCCAGUGGCAUCUAUUAUUGCACACUGGAGGAAUGGCUGAGAAGUUCACUGAAAACAUUUAUCUAUGUCAAAGAAACACUCCAACAUAUAAAGACAGAAGGACAUUAAAAUAUUUUGACUUUUUAACAAAGCAAUAAGAUGUGAGAAUAAGGGAAGAGGAGGGCAGCCAGGAAAAGAAGAGAUAAGAAAGAAACUGGAAGAAAUGUUGUAACUAUUUCCAAGGAUCUUAGAUGCAUCAGAUGAUAUAGAUGAGUUAUUCCUUUUCCAUAUCAAAACUUGAUAUAGAACUGAGAAGAAAAGGUAAUGGGACACAGUGCAAAAUGAUACAGAAGGACAUAAAACUUUACAAAAGAGCCACAUCCAUUUCACAAUUGUAGACCACAUCCAAUUCAUAAUGGUAGACCACCUCAGAUUCCUACGAGACACCAGAAAGUUGAUCAAUAUUGAAGAUGACAUAUUGCUAUUAACAAAGCAAUAAGAUGUGAGAAUAAGGGAAGAGGAGGGCAGCCAGGAAAAGAAGAGAUAAGAAAGAAACUGGAAGAAAUGUUGUAACUAUUUCCAAGGAUCUUAGAUGCAUCAGAUGAUAUAGAUGAGUUAUUCCUUUUCCAUAUCAAAACUUGAUAUAGAACUGAGAAGAAAAGGUAAUGGGACACAGUGCAAAAUGAUACAGAAGGACAUAAAACUUUACAAAAGAGCCACAUCCAUUU